AGGGCAAGUCUGGUGCCAGCAGCCGCGGUAAUUCCAGCUCCAAUAGCGUAUAUUAAAGUUGUUGCAGUUAAAAAGCUCGUAGUUGAAUUUCGGGGUUAGUAGGUUGGUCAUGCCUCAGGUAUGUACUGAUCUCACUGAUUCCUCCUUCCUGAUGAACCGUAAUGCCAUUAAUUUGGUGUUGCGGGGAAACUGGACUGUUACUUUGAAAAAAUUAGAGUGUUUAAAGCAGGCUAACGCUUGAAUACAUUAGCAUGGAAUAAUGAAAUAGGACGUUCGAUCCUAUUUUGUUGGUUUCUAGGAUUGACGUAAUGAUUAAUAGGGAUAGUUGGGGGCAUUAGUAUUCAAUUGUCAGAGGUGAAAUUCUUGGAUUUAUUGAAGACUAACUACUGCGAAAGCAUUUGCCAAGGAUGUUUUCAUUAAUCAAGAACGAAAGUUAGGGGAUCGAAGACGAUCAGAUACCGUCGUAGCCUUAACCAUAAACUAUGCCGACUAGGGAUCGGAUGAUGUUAAUUUUUUAAUGACUCAUUCGGCGCCUUACGGGAA
rnacentral:rRNA from 1 species